rnacentral:lncRNA from 1 species
UCCUUUGGAAUAAAUAACGCACGGUGGCGACUCUCCUGUCUUUCUUCACCGGUUGUUUUUUUUCGCAUUCUAUUUUUUAGGUUGCGACAAUAUGAAUUAAUUGAAAUAAAAUAGAGGUCAAAACAAAAGUCAACCAACAAGACUAGGUUAAAAAUAAAUCAAGAAUAAAUUGAAAAUGGGAAAUAAAAUUCCAAGAAAAGGUCAGGUUGACCAUGGGACAGUGGUCAACCUU